UACGUAGGGGGCAAGCGUUGUCCGGAAUCAUUGGGCGUAAAGCGCGUGUAGGCGGUUCAGUAAGUCUGCUGUGAAAGUCCAGGGCUCAACCCUGGGAUGCCGGUGGAUACUGCUGGGCUAGAGUACGGAAGAGGCGAGUGGAAUUCCCGGUGUAGCGGUGAAAUGCGCAGAUAUCAGGAGGAACACCGAUGGCGAAGGCAGGUCUCUGGGCUGACACUGACGCUCAUGCACGAAAGCGUGGGGAGCAAACAGG
rnacentral:rRNA from 1 species